CUGAUUCUAUGUAACUAUCAAAAUUCAGUGGCCACGGUAUGUCACAGAUUUUUAUGAAACUUUGUGUGUAACAAUAUUAUGAUAGAUAUAAAACAAAAAGGGCAUGCAAAGGUUUGACUUAGCAACGGUUGCCAUGGAAACCGAUCCUCUAACAACAGCUGGACAAGAUAUGCACAUAUAUGUUAUAUUUUGAAUAAACCAAAAUUAAACGCUAUUGUUUAUAAAAACAACAAUUGUAAAAAUUAUUUUGAGCUAGGUUCUAGCUUUUAGAAAUUUUUUUGUAUUUAUUUAAUCCUUGAAAACAAUAGAAAUAAUUAUUUUUAUGAUGUAUAAGGGUUUGAUAUAUGUAAUUUUUAGAGAGGGAUAAAAUAUAUUUGCCCAGUCAUUUGGUGUAAACUCACAUGCUAGUAAAAUGUAUUGAAUCUUACUUUAAAAAAGUACAGAAACACAUUUGUGGAGAAACCAAAGGUAAACACAUAAACCAGUAGUUUCCUCUGGUGCACAAACCAAAAUACACCAGAAAGAGUUAUUGCCCUUUGUAACACUCUCUUGUAUUGGAGAUAUGAACAGCCUUCAUUUGUUUUCAGUAUGGCAGGAGGUGGAAAUUGAGUUUUUAUUCAAUUUGUUCUUCAGAAGUUUAUCAAUAUCAGAUGCUCUUUGUUCACUUAAUUCACUACCAUUAUAUUUAUCUUCAAUUGUGCUAAAGGAUUCCGGUUUAUUUCAUGGAAUACAAAUCCGUUUGAUCUUUGCCAUAGUCACCGGACUCUAGCAUCCAAUCGUCUACGUAUUCGUAGAAAAAGUAAAUGCUGUGUGGAAUUUAACGCUUUAUUGCAUCACAUCCGACUAAAAAAAUGACCAGGGAAACAGAAGGCUGACAGACAUAUUCAUAGAAAAAGCCCUGCCUGUUGCCGUGUAACGGUGUUGGAACUUGUAUUGACCUGUAUGAGCAUCAUACUGUGCAAAUCACCUAAAGAUGGAGUUGACCAAGUUGCUGACUUUGAGGAGAACUUGAAGAGCAGAAGAUGCAUUCCAUGACUCUUAUGUGAUAUAGAAGACAAAGAAGAGCUCUUGAGAAUGGAAAAAAAACUGCAAGUUUUACAGUCAAUGAACACACCUCACGACACAAGUCCAUCCUGAUUCAGUAAACUAUUAUUCUAAGGAAACACCAUGACUUAGUUAAGAUCAAGUUUUGGUGUCAGAAGACUAAUGUAACUAAAACAUUGCAAAAUUAACCUGCAAGUGUCUUAUGUGAGCCUACUGAAUAAGGAUUCAUUACUGAACAGUUGAAGGAAAAUCACUAUUAUAAUGAUUUUUUAAAAAAGAUGAUUGUGUUGUUUGGAUAACAUUGUGAUCCAUGUUUGUUGAAUAAACAACUUUGCAAAAAUGAGUUGUUCUGUGUUAAUAUUAUAAAUUUACUAAUUACUGGUAUGUCAACAUAGAUUACAGUAACACUGAACAAACUUCAAUAAAUUUUAAAGUUUCAUGCAGUUUCUGCAGUAGAAAAUGACACCUAUUGAUUUUCUGGUCCAAAGGUCACCAGGUGCAAUACAAUACUCUGUACAAUUGAUGUCUGACCAGUUUCUUCAGAACCCUUUGAUUGAUAGUGAUAUUUCAUACAGGGGUUGGUCACUGGUAGUAUAUGACCCCCAUUGAUUUUCAGGUCAAAAGAUUAAAAAUAGCAGGGG